GAGUGGCUGACUCGAGGCUCGCCGAGAGAACGUCGCCUUUGGCGACGGCCCCGAAGGGGCGAGGGCGUAAGCCCGAGUAACGAG
rfam:Sedimenticola thiotaurini strain SIP-G1, complete genome.